CGUGGCUGGUAGCCUUAUGUCUGCCUCACUGCAAACAGAUUGGAAUACACAACAGAAUGCAAUGCAACACAACAAGCCCCUGGGCUUUUUAAAAAGUGUAUCUUUAUUAAAAAUGUUUCUGAUCCGCAAUGUAAUUGUUCUGAACCACAAGCCGACUCACGGGUUGAAAUAAUGUUUUCAUUCCACCCGCCAGCUGAUUAUUUUGUGGCGCAAGACUACAUACCAGUAAGCAAGAGAAUGGCUCAUCUUUACUGUGUCUUAGUCUGUAAAAGCAAUCUACAGUUUAUCUUCCCCCCAAAAUAAGUUUUGUGGGUUACAUACGUUUCCCAAACUCAGGAUGCACCCAAGUUGAUCACAAGGAGUGCCAUUUUCAGAGCACAUUUAGCAGGAGGGUGCUUUGAGAACCUGAUACAAAAAACUAUUGCGUAUGUCAAGCUUCUCAUACUGAAGCCCGAUGCAUUCCCAACACGCUAGAUAGACUGCUGGAUUUCAUCUUCAAUGCGGUCAUCCACGAUCUGUAUGUGGAGGAGGUGUGUGUGUGAGUUCGCCAUUCCAGAACCCCUGUGUGCCCAGUACGAGAGACCUGACAAGGAGGAAGCCAUCGCUGGAUUUGUGUCCUCCUUCAGCAAUCUAGGGUGAAAGUGAAGACUCUGGGCUCUAUAGGUUCUUGCACCAUAGUCACUGGAAGAGAUGACGUAUAGCGUGUUUGUGUUGGUGGCUACCUCUCCCCAGCCUCUGGUAUACACUCUGGUCAACAUACCGUGCAGCCUUCUCCUGCUAUAUAAGCUGCCAGUAUGUCAGUGGUCAGUUCUGGUCUACUAAAGGUGGUGGCUCUCCCAUAGACAUCAAUGCGAUAGCAGUUGGGUCUGGUCUACUUAGCUCAUUUGACCUCCAUUGAAACAGAAAACAUUUGUAUGUGUCACUUCCUUUUCCAUCUCUGCUAGUAACACCAGAAGAGAACAACUGAGCCAAUGCUAAAGUAUCAGCAACAGCCAAGGGGGCACGGGGAGAUACGUUUCCCCCCAAAACAUUCAUACACCUAGCCUGGGUACCAGUCUGUUUAGCUAACAUUCCACUACUUGUACUCUGUGUCAUGUUUCAGUUAUGUUUUGCAAUGACACAGAGUACAAGGAGUGGAAUAUUGGCUAAACAGACACCAUAUACAAAUCAACUGUAUAUUUGUAUAUAUAUCAUAACCCAGCCAUCACCAUGUCUUGAGACCUCUUAAGACAUGUCUUAGACACCAAUGAGACAUCCGUCUUAAGACAUUUUAUAAUUUAUUGUUUUCAUGUUUUAUUAGUUAUUAAUAUUACUUAUUCACUCUAGAACUCUCAUGCACAUUCAUAGCACAAAUUGUACUGCACACCAAAUCAAAGUAAGCAAGAUUUAUUGACCAAAUAACAAUUUUAGAAUGAUGCAACAAAAUAACUUGUGGUAAAGGCGGUAUAGAGCUCCAAACAACGCCCAUCGUUGAGUCUUUACAGCCAGAUAGUAAUCGCUUGUUUGGGGAUCUCAGAGCUGCUCCUCCUUAACCUUUUCGGAAAUAAAAUGCCAUUAGGUAUCCUAUCAGAAAAUAACAAUAUCACAUUUACCAUGCUAUUUUCUUGUACUUAUAAAUAGCUCACCUGAAGCAGAAAGCCCUAUCGUCCGUGAGGGCUAAAUGUUUGACACCAGGUAAGACCCCAGCUUUAUUGUAUGUCCAGUCUGAAAAUAGAACGAGCCUAUGUGAUUCAAAGACAGCUGAUUAGAGAAAGUGACCUUUCUGUGAUUGCAUGUAGAAUCACAGACAUUACAUUAAACACACUUUACUGCAUAUUUACUUUCAAUUAUUGCAGUAUAAUUAAAUAAAUAAUUCAAAAGCAUGUCUGACAGCCUUAAUGUCACAUUAUUUUGCAUGUCUUUAAAACAUGGCAUUAGUGUCUUGAGACAUGUCUUGAAGACACACAUAAAAUGUCUUGAGACAUAGUGUUGAGUGUCUUGAGACGUCUCAAUUGCAUGUCUCAAGACCCCACCAAUACAGAUUUCUGAAUGUUCUACUGCAUCAUGGAAAACACUAGAUCCAAAAAUAGCUCUGUUUGUUCGGUUAAGGACAACAACAAAAAUAACUUACAUAUUUAUUUACGUACUGUAUGUGCACAAUCAUACCCAGCCAUCACCUUUGUCUUGAGAAAAUAACUUGAGGCAUAUUAUUUCUAAACAAAUAUUAAUCAAGUAGGUGCUGAUGUCGUGGAACUUGUUGCACCUUCUGGUAACCUGUGGGGAAAAGUAUACAUUUAAUAGGCCACUCAGUUUAUAAUGACAUCUAUUUCACAUGAAAUCAAUAAUAGUGUAUAAUGCAUACAAACGCACAUUAGGGACUUCCAUACAGCAAAGGUUUUCUGCAGCAGUGCCGGUGGGCUAGUUUGGCAGUGCCAGCGACCACUGCAGAGUUUUCUGAGCAAAAAAAAAAAACGUUUUAAAUUAUUUUUAUUUUCAUUGUUGGACAUAAAAGACUGUAAAAACACCAGGAAAUCAGCUCCAAGUGAUUUUAAUUUAAGAAAUCUGUUCCCAAGUAUUCCCACGCAUAAUAGAGACACGUGAUCGUAUAUAAAUGUAAGCAAGGUUUGAAAUGAUCUGUUUUGGCUUCUUGUGGUCAAUUUGCAGUCUACUAAUGAUUUGUACUUAUGUUUCAGCCUCUCGACCAUCCGCUCAAGAACAAAUCGGUUACAUGUGGUUUGUGGUUGUGAGGCCGGUUGGACGUACUUCCAAAUUCUCUAAAACGACGUUGGAGGCGGCUUAUGGUAGAGAAAUUAACAUUUAACUCUCUGGCAACAGCUCUGGUGGACAUUCCUGCUGUCAGCAUGCCAAAUGCACGCUCACCCAAAACUUGAGACAUUUGUCGCAUUUUGUUGUGUGACAAAACUGCACAUUUUAGAGUAGCCUUUUAUUGUCCCCAGCACAUGGUGGACCUGUGUAAUGAUCAAGCUGUUUGAUCAGCUGCUUGAUAUGCCACAUCUGGCAGGUGGAUGGAUUAUCUUGGCAAAUGAGAAAUACGCUUUUCGUGCGUAUGUAACAUUUCUGGGAUAUUUUAUUUGAGCUCAUGAAACAUGGGACCAACACUUGACAUGUUUGGUUCAUAUUUUUGUUCAAUAUAGAUAGCUAUACUAUUGACAUUGCAAACAUAAUUUGUAAGCAGUUAGGGAAAUACUAUUGACAUUACUUGAAACAAUGCGACAGCUGUCAAUAGCAAGCCUAUCAAAAUGAAUUAGAAUAGAUGCACCUUAUUCUCGUAAACUUCUUAAAGCACUGGUUUAUACCGCAUUUAUCCCAUGUAGCAACAGCUAUAUCAGAGAGUAUCUUUAGCUAUACAGAGAGAUACAAUAUCCUAUCAGUUACCACGUGAUGAAUACAAAACAAACCACAUACAGUAUCUGUCUGAGUUAUACAAUUAUGAGGAUACAGUAUCUGUUAUAUAACUGAUUUAUCUGUUUGCUCUUGUCAACUAUAAUGGAACUCAGCAAGUUAGUUGUCGUUUUGUUUUCAAAACUUUCUCACUGUCUUUUGGAUUGUAUGUCUGUGUCUGCCUGAGUGCCCGUGUUUCAUAGCGAGUCAUGCUGGGUCUUCCACGGUAUGGGUGCCUUUUGCGUCCCGUGUAUAUUUUUUAAUUUCAAAUUGUGAACCAAUAUUGAAUUUUAAAAGCCUGUUUCACCAUCA